UCAAAUCAGGUAGGAGUACCCGCUGAACUUAAGCAUAUCAAUAAGCGGAGGAAAAGAAACCAACCGGGAUUGCCUCAGUAACGGCGAGUGAAGCGGCAAAAGCUCAAAUUUGAAAUCUGGCAGCAAUGUCCGAGUUGUAAUUUGAAGAGGGUGUUUUGGAGGCGGGUCUUGUCUAUGUCUGUUGGAACACAGCGUCACAGAGGGUGAGAAUCCCGUGCGAUGAGAACGCGUCUCCGUGUAAAGUGCCCUCGACGAGUCGAGUUGUUUGGGAAUGCAGCUCUAAGUGGGUGGUAAAUUCCAUCUAAAGCUAAAUAUUGGCGAGAGACCGAUAGCGAACAAGUACAGUGAUGGAAAGAUGAAAAGCACUUUGAAAAGAGAGUGAAAAAGUACGUGAAAUUGUUGAAAGGGAAGGGCUUGAGAUCAGCGUGGAGAGGAUUCAUUCUCUCUGGGCCAGCAUCGGUUUGCGGGGGGAGACACGGGGCACGAGCGGCGCUGUAUGGCGAAGCUCGGGCCAGAUAUCCCCACCACAGACCGAGGACUGCGAGCAAUCAAGGAUGCUGGCAUAAUGAUCUUCAGCCGCCCGUCUUGAAACACGGACCAAGGAGUCUAACGUCUAUGC
rnacentral:rRNA from 1 species